rnacentral:sRNA from 1 species
UUUUAAACUAUGGGGUUUGCGUGAGGGAUGGAAGCGGUAUACCUUUUCGUUCUAACGGAUAAUAUCAGUACAUAAAAACGAAAAGUAUAUUGCGUACAGCCCGACCCCUU